ACAGGGAUUGCCUUAGUAACGGCGAGUGAAGCGGCAACAGCUCAAAUUUGAAAUCUGGCUCUUUCAGAGUCCGAGUUGUAAUUUGCAGAGGGCGCUUUGGCGUUGGCAGCGGUCCAAGUUCCUUGGAACAGGACGUCACAGAGGGUGAGAAUCCCGUACGUGGUCGCUAGUCAUCGCCGUGUAAAGCCCCUUCGACGAGUCGAGUUGUUUGGGAAUGCAGCUCUAAAUGGGAGGUAAAUUUCUUCUAAAGCUAAAUACUGGCCAGAGACCGAUAGCGCACAAGUAGAGUGAUCGAAAGAUGAAAAGCACUUUGGAAAGAGAGUCAAACAGCACGUGAAAUUGUUGAAAGGGAAGCGCUUGCAGCCAGACUUGCCUGUAGUUGCUCAUCCGGGCUUUUGCCCGGUGCACUCUUCUGCGGGCAGGCCAGCAUCAGUUUGGGCGGUUGGAUAAAGGUCUCUGUCAUGUACCUCUCUUCGGGGAGAACUUAUAGGGGAGACGACAUACAACCAGCCUGGACUGAGGUCCGCGCAUUUGCUAGGAUGCUGGCGUAAUGGCUGUAAGCGGCCCGUCUUGAAACACGGACCAAGGAGUCUAACAUCUAUGCGAGUGUUUGGGUGUCAAGCCCGAGCGCGUAAUGAAAGUGAACGGAGGUGGGACCCCGUAAGGGUGCACCAUCGACCGAUCCUGAUGUCUUCGGAUGGAUUUGAGUAAGAGCAUGGCUGUUGGGACCCGAAAGAUGGUGAACUAUGCUUGAAUAGGGUGAAGCCAGAGGAAACUCUGGUGGAGGCUCGCAGCGGUUCUGACGUGCAAAUCGAUCGUCAAAUUUGGGCAUAGGGGCGAAAGACUAA
rnacentral:rRNA from 1 species